rnacentral:sRNA from 1 species
UGCCCCUUUGACCCCACAAGAAUCUAUGAUACAGCCUUGGCUCUCUGGAUCCCUUCUUUGCUCAUGUCUGCAGGGGAGGCUGCUCUAUCUGGUUACUGCUGUGUGGCUGCACUCACUCUACGUGGAGUUGGGCCCUGCAGGAAGGACGGACUUCAGGGGCAGCUAGAGGAAAUGACAGAGCUUGAAUCUCCUAAAUGUAAAAGGCAGGAAAAUGAGCAGCUACUGGAUCAAAAUCAAGAAAUCCGGGCAUCACAGAGAAGUUGGGUUUAGGACAGGUAAUGGGCCUUGAAGGUGGUGGCCCGGGUAAGAGUGGGGGCAGGGAAGUGCUCUUAGAACUGGGUCUAGGUCUUGCCAUGCUGCUUUCCCCUCUGACCUGGGUUGGUUCUCCCCUCUGUCCAGCAGGUGCUGUUCCGAGACUCAGUCCUAAAGGGUUUUUUUCCCACUAAGCAAGGGGCCCUGACCUCGGGAUGAGAUAACAAAUUAUAAUAAAGUAACUUCUCUUUU